UGGCGGACGGGUGAGUAAUGCGUAGGAAUCUACCUAGUUGAGUGGGAUAGCCUAGGGAAACUUAGGGUAAUACCGCAUAAGUCUUACGGGAGAAAGCAGGGGACUGUUAAAGGCCUUGCGCGAUUAGAUGAGCCUACGUCGGAUUAGCUUGUUGGUGGGGUAAAGGCCUACCAAGGCGAUGAUCCGUAGCUGGCCUGAGAGGACGACCAGCCACACUGGGACUGAGACACGGCCCAG
rnacentral:rRNA from 1 species